rnacentral:rRNA from 1 species
AUUGCACGCUGGCGGCAGGCCUAACACAUGCAAGUCGAACGAGUGGCGGACGGGUGAGUAAUGUCUGGGAAACUGCCUGAUGGAGGGGGAUAACUACUGGAAACGGUAUCUAAUACCGCAUACCAUCGGAUGUGCCCAGAUGGGAUUAGCUAGUAGGUGGGGUAAAGGCCAACCUAGGCGACGAUCCCGAGCUGGUCUGAGAGGAUGACAAGACAAACUGGAACGGUGACACGGUCCAGACUACUACGGGAGGAAGCAGUGGGGAAUAUUGCACAAUGGGCGGAAGCCUGAUGCAGCCAUGCCGGGUGUAUGAAGAAGGCAUUCGGGUUGUAAAGUACUUUCAGCGGGGAGGCGUUACACGCAGAAGAAGCAACGGCUAACUCCGUGCCAGCAGCCGCGGUAAUAC